CAGACGGCGGAGAGCAGAGAGGGAGCGCGCCUUGGCUCGCUGGCCUUGGCGGCGGCUCCUCAGGAGAGCUGGGGCGCCCACGAGAGGAUCCCUCACCCGGGUCUCUCCUCAGGGAUGACAUCAUCCGUCCACCUCCUUGUCUUCAAGGACCACCUCCUCUCCAUGCUGAGCUGCUGCCAAGGGGCCUGCUGCCCAUCUACACCUCACGAGGGCACUAGGAGCACGGUUUCCUGGAUCCCACCAACAUACAAAGCAGCCACUCACUGACCCCCAGGACCAGGAUGGCAAAGGAUGAAGAGGACCGGAACUGACCAGCCAGCUGUCCCUCUUACCUAAAGACUUAAACCAAUGCCCUAGUGAGGGGGCAUUGGGCAUUAAGCCCUGACCUUUGCUAUGCUCAUACUUUGACUCUAUGAGUACUUUCCUAUAAGUCUUUGCUUGUGUUCACCUGCUAGCAAACUGGAGUGUUUCCCUCCCCAAGGGGGUGUCAGUCUUUGUCGACUGACUCUGUCAUCACCCUUAUGAUGUCCUGAAUGGAAGGAUCCCUUUGGGAAAUUCUCAGGAGGGGGACCUGGGCCAAGGGCUUGGCCAGCAUCCUGCUGGCAACUCCAAGGCCCUGGGUGGGCUUCUGGAAUGAGCAUGCUACUGAAUCACCAAAGGCACGCCCGACCUCUCUGAAGAUCUUCCUAUCCUUUUCUGGGGGAAUGGGGUCGAUGAGAGCAACCUCCUAGGGUUGUUGUGAGAAUUAAAUGAGAUAAAAGAGGCCUCAGGCAGGAUCUGGCAUAGAGGAGGUGAUCAGCAAAUGUUUGUUGAAAAGGUUUGACAGGUCAGUCCCUUCCCACCCCUCUUGCUUGUCUUACUUGUCUUAUUUAUUCUCCAACAGCACUCCAGGCAGCCCUUGUCCACGGGCUCUCCUUGCAUCAGGUAGGGGCUUUGCAGAGACCAUCGACGGGCUGACUUGAGUAAGAACACGAAUUAUGCAUGUGGCCAUUUCCAGAGCACUUUCUAUGUGAUAUGAACAUGUGAUUUUUAUGUAAUAUGUGUAUGUAAACGAGGCAGCCUCAUUUCCAGGUGAGGAUGCAUUUGGUAGUGUUGAUUUUUGUAAUUUAAAGAAGCUGAAAGGGAGAGAGGACCCGUGAGGACUGAACUCUCUGUCCCAUGGGGUAGGGCUUACAUUUACAUUAAAGAAACAGAAACUUGCUGGGAGGUGUAAGUAUUUGGUCACAUUGCUGGCAACAGAAGGGGUUGGAGUUGGACCCAGGGUGCCACGCUAGCUGCCCUCACCCCUUCUUCCCCUCUGGCCCAGAGUUAUACUAAGAGUCCUUUUAUUUCAAACCAAAUGUUUGACAAUGGGACAGUCUGUUUGAAAUCCCAGCUGCCUGGGGUGGUCUUGGGGGUCUGGGUGGCCCCAGUGCUGGUACCAUGUGCUGGCUUCACCUUUUAAUAACAGUGUGACCUUAAACAAGUCGCUUAACUACUCUAAGUUUCAGUUUCUUUCAUGGUCUAAAUGGAGAUUAAAACACACACACACACACACACACACACACACACACACACACCCCCUCGUGUAUCUACCCCACAGGGCGCUUUUGAAGACCAAAUGCUGUAACUACUAUGAAAGUGCUUUGUAAAUUGCUGUGGAAAGUGUGAGCUACUCAAGCACCCGAGGCUGUCCCUCCUUGCUCACAUGUCCAGCCCAAUUCUCCCUUAGUGAGAACAGCACUCAGUAGGUGCUGUGUGUGUUUGUGUUCAAUUAAGAAAUUCCAGAAUAAAUAAAAAUGAAUUAAUUCAACAAACAUUUUCUGGGGCACCGACAAUCUGCCCAGUGCACCAGGCUAGGUAUCUGAUACAAAGAUAAUGAAAACAGUCUCUUGGAACCUAAUUGGGGUCCUCAUUUGACCAGGAAUUUCUUUCGUCCCGUUUUAAGCCAACCAGUUUUGUCCGGACAAGACAAAAACAACUUGGGCUGCUUUAGAGAAGCCCAGCUCAGUGUAGACAAUAGCUGCCCAGCCUCUGAAAGGGGCUGAUUGGAUUAUGUGGCAAAUGGAGGUGCAAGGAUGACUUGGACGGUGACAAAUGAAGUGGGCGGAGACCUGCUUUGAGUUAAUCCAGGCUAUUAGGAGGGGACCUUUUGUCUUCCAGAGACUGGCAGGAGCUUUUACCAGUGGUUUUUACAUCCUUAAUGUUCAGGACGAAUAAUUUAUGGUCAGUGAAAAUCCAGGCCCCAGUGAGAUUCGAGUGGGCUGUAAAAUCGAGAGUCCUGCUCCCAGUGAGUAAUGGUAGUGAAUGUUUCUGUCACUUUUUGCAACCGUCCAUUCAUUUGAUCCUCACAACUCCCUGUCCUGAGCCAGGACCGGCCACUGCCACUCCCAGGGAAACAGAGGCUGUCAAGAGGCUCCACAGAUUGGGCCCCACUGGAUCAUUGAACCCCUGUUCCCUGAGUUCUAGAGGAAGAAUUGUACCUGUCUCAGUCCCGGCCACCUCCAGAAGGCCUCCCUCUGCAUUUCUGACUUUGCUGUGCCGGCAGCCUGGAGCCUCCCAGGUCCCUGCUGUCAUCUUUUCUAGCCACUACAGUCUCUGUCUUUCCUUUCACAGCCAAGCUUCUUGAAAGGCCUGUCUACACUUGCUGUCUUCCUUCCUCACCUCCAAUUUCCUCUUCAACCCACUGCUUCCUGACUCGCUCUACUCCGUGGAAGCACGCUCACAAAGGUUCCCAGUGCCCCCGACAAGCCCCUGCUGGUGUCUCCAUCUCCUGCCAAGCAUCCUCCAGUGCCUCCUCCUGUGGGCCUGGCCUCAGGGCUAUGGACAGACUCCUGUCCCAUCCCAGAGACCCCUCGUGAUCGUGCCCUGGCACGUGGGCCGUGGCCCGGCUGGGUCGGCUGAAGAACUGCGGAUGGAAGCUGCGGAAGAGGCCCUGAUGGGGCCCACCAUCCCGGACCCAAGUCUUCUUCCUGGCGGGCCUCUCGUCUCCUUCCUGGUUUGGGCGGAAGCCAUCACCUGGAUGCCUACGUGGGAAGGGACCUCGAAUGUGGGACCCCAGCCCCUCUCCAGCUCGAAAUCGGCAGACUAGGAUGGAAGUGCCCUGUGAGCUGGGGGGCCCUUCAAAGGGCCAAGGAGAAAACGCAGGCCGAGGGACCAGCCUUCCAAAUGGGCUUCAAGCUCCAAUGACCUCCGCUCGCCCCCUCGAAAUGUCUGGAAAACAUAAUGGGCAGAUUUUCUGUCUUCAAAGUUUCCGGCUAAACCUCUUCAAGUUCUUUAUUGUUUGGGACUGAGACACUCAGCCAUGUUAAUGGGUAGUUUCUUUUGUAUUUGCCUUGAAAGGCCAAAAUAUUUUUAUAUUGCCACAGACAAAGCCACCUAUUUAAAAAUGAACUCCAUGUCCGUCGUUUCCCACCAGGAGACUAUGUACCAUGUGUGUGUCUCUAUGUAUUCUGGGGUCUUGAAACAGGUUUCUCAUGGGGAUGGUCAUUCACCACGGUCCAGAGGGGCAGAACAGGCGGCGCUUGCCUUGCCCAGGGGGCCUGGGGAACGUGGGCCCUCAUCUCAGAUCUGCCCCCAGUAUGUUUAGGACGCGAGCCCCAGAAGGAUCUGGGAGUAAACUUAACAUUCACUGUGUCUCUGCUCUGCAUCCGCCAUUUGUGUGUGUUUCUGGACUGUGGGCUGUGUGUACCUUGGUUGGUGACUCAGUGAGAAGAAGCAGGAAUGCCAAAGAUACUGUGAAUGUUCUGAGUUUUGUUGCUGUUGUUGUUGAGAGGUUGUUUCACUGGUAUCUAUUGCAUUGUAUAAUAAAUGACCAGAUGAAUGAAUGAGUGAAGCAAGAGAGAAUGAAUAAACAAGUAAAUAGGUAAAGAAGUAAGCAAGCCAGGAUGAGAGUGUGUGUACACAAGACCAUGGUUCAUCCGCUUUGAUGGCUAGGCAAUCAAUAUAUAAAUAGAAAAAAACCAGUGAAUCACUAAGUAAUAGGGCAACACACAAAGCGAUAUCAGGUGAUUAUGGACUAAGGGGUAUGUGUAACUCAAAUAUAUGCCUCUGACAUUUGACAAUGAAAAAGAACCUAAAUGAAAGAAAGAAUGGAUGUAUGAGUAGUGAAGUGCAGAAUGAGACAUAGAUUUUGAGGCCCGUCAAAAUGAAAAGAUGCAAGUUAGGGAACAAGUGAUCAAAAGGGAGAAGGGAAAGGUUUUUUUUAAAAAACCAAAACAACAAAGAAAGGUUAAAAAAAAAAACAGACUAGAGGAUGAGUAAUGAGUAACUCUGUAAGGAGGACCAUGUCAGACUAUUGUAAGCUAAGCAUUAGGACUGAUACAAAUAAUAUAUGCUCCUGGCAUAGAAAAAUAAACCACAGAGAACGAGUUCAAAGAAUAGCAAAGAAAGAAAGAGGACCCAGUGGGCGAAAGAUGAGAGUGUACUUUUACCAAAAGUUAUCUAAGCCUGAGCACUUGAAGUCUGCACAUAAAUAAAUAAAUGACAAAAGAAAGAAAAAAAGGCCAAAAAGUCUACAUUGCGUGUGUGGAUGGAUGAAUGAGCAGUGGGAGUGCAGCGCCAGGUGACAAGAUGUUGUGAGGGGUUUUGAGUCAUCCAGUCCUGGGCACUGAGGUCUGUUAGAUGAAAGGAUAUGAGAAAGGUAAUAUUGGUAAAUAAAGAAAUAGGAAACAAUGUAACAAAUGUUAAGUACAGAAAUACAUUAAUGGGUGGUAAAUAAAGAUGUAAAAGAAGGCAAUGCGAUCGAUGGUGGCAAAAGAUCAUCACAGAUUAAGGGCUAUGGCUGGUCCACUUCUAGAAAACCACAGGCUGUCCAUUAAAUAAUGAACAUCUAAGUGAACAAGUCAGUGAGUACCUAAAUAGACAAGGAUGAGGUGAAUGAGAAGACAUGGCCCCAUGGGUCCUCCUGAUGAGGGUGUUGGGGUCCCCCCUGGGCACCCCAGCUGCAUGAAAAUGAAGGACAGGAGGUAUGGAAAGCUAUGACAGAAGAGAGAAAGGAACGGUAAAAAGAAAUAACAACCAAAUGGAUAAAUGGGUAGAUCCACGAGAAGAGUUAGGCUAGGACUUGUCAUAAGGGCACCUGACUCCACUAAUAGAGGAAUAAAUGCCUAAUAAAAAGAGAGCAAGCAGGAAGGAAGGAUGCUAUGAAUGCAGGAAGGAAGUAAUGAGUGAGACGUGGAACCGCACGGCCAAGGAUGGACGUUUGCGGGUGGCUUUUUGAUGCGUACAGCCAAGCCACUCCAUGGCAAUGAGCUCCGAAGACAAAGUGCAAGAGAGAAUGAGUGAGAGAGUGAGAGAGAGAGAAACAAUAAAAAAUGGGAAGAAAUGUAAAAAGGAAGAAAGGAAGAGAGGUAAUAUAUUAAGGAAUAAAUACAUGCAUGCAGAUUUAAGACAGAGCCAUGCUAGAACAGGAAUGAAAGGCUGUGUGAACCAAGCAGACCGCUUAAUUGGCACCAGUGCUGCUGGUAUGGUCAAUCACCUACUCAACUAAGGAACGGCUCAAAGCAUACACAUGGGAGGGAGGAGUGGGGCCACAGAGAGAGGGCCCAUUAGUUGCAGAUUACGAUGUAUCCAGUUAGGUGCACCUGCCUUCGAGAAGUGUAAAAAUAAGUAUUUACAUAGAAAGAAAGACUGAAUGGAUGCACGGUGAAUGCAUGAAUGAUUGAACGACAGAAAAGAUUUGCAUUGACCGAUGAGGAGGGCAUUGUAGACAGGGAUGAGGGUCAUUGAUCCUGGGUGCAGAUCUCCAAAAGAAUGACAGAAAGAAAGAGGGAGUGGUGGAAAGAAACAAUAGGAUGGGAAAAAAUGAAAAUAGAAAAAAGGAAGUGAAAGAGAUAAUAAAUAAUUAGAUCAAAUAAGUUGAUGAAAGGGGACUGGUUUAGCACAAGCCAUCCACAUUAAUUCAAACCUGUGGCUCUGAAGUUUGUUUUUUAAAUGACCACAAGUGUAAGACUGAAUGAAAGAAUAAAUGCGUGCAUUCCAUAGGAUGCAAGAAAAGGAGUGAGGAAUGGGAAAAUUGGAAGAACGAGAGAGGGAGAGAUGUAAGAAAAGAAAGGAAAAGUGAAGUAGGCAUAUGAAAGAAAAGGCACUUCUUGGACAAGCACUGAAAUAUAAUGAGACAGUUUUACCCAUUAAAUAUAAUAAACAGUAAACGUUGAGGUUCAUCAAUAAAAGCACAGAUACCUGAAUAGAGGAGUGACCUGAAUAGAAUUCGUUCAGCCGAACGAAUGAGAAUGGAUGAUUUUCACUAUCCUGUGCACUCAAGGCCCAAAAGAGAAAGCAAGAGAGGAGAGAAUAUGGAAACGUAUGACAGGAUGUAUAUAAGCAAUACAAACAUAUUGAAUGAAUAAAUAAAGACAUAAAUAUGUGGGAGAGUGGACCACGCAAGGACAAAAAGAGGAGAGAAGGCAGCAAGAAUUAUGACUAAUUCAAAACUGGGUUCCUGAGAUAGUUAAAUAAAUCCUGCACCAAAUCCCCAGGGGGAGAAAUUAACAAACAAAAGACAGCCCCACACGGACCAGUGUGCAGAAGGCUCCAGGAACCGCAGAUUAUGGUUAAUCCAAUUCUGUGCACCUGAGGUCCAUAAAUAAAAGAAUAAGUAUUGAAAUGAAAGAAUGACAGAAAGAAUGAAUGGACACAUGAACGACUGAAUUAGAAAUGGAAAUGCCUGGCACAGCCAGGAAGGAGCUGCCCAUGGGAUUGUCAUUCAUCUCACUCUGGGCACCUGAGGUCCAUAAGCGUGAAAAGAGGCAGGAAGAGAAGUGUCAGGGAGUCAAAGAUAGAGCUAAGGAAAGGCAAAAAUGAAACUAAAUGAAAGCGAAAGGGAAAAUAAAGAAAAACCAAUAAAAAAGAGAACGAAUACGUGGGUGUAUCUGUAAGAGUAGGAUCUGUUAGGAUUAGUCAUAAGACUGUCAGUAAUCCUGAAGAUGGAUGAGAUAAUCCAGGCCCAGGUUCCCAGGGGGAGGGAAAAUGGAGAAAAUAUAAAAAGAUGUGAAAAAGGAAAAAGGAAAGGUAAUAAACAAACAACCAAAGUGAUAAAUGGAUAGUUAAGGGAGGUUGUCUGAACAGGGAUUAUAAUUAGUUUACAUACAUACUCCUUAAACAGAUAAAUACAUUACACCUUUCAAAGAAUAAAUGAAAAAUAGAGAGACAUACCUGGCUCCAAAACAAGGCUGUAUCUUCUGCCACUGUAAUAAAAUAGAUGCAAUUGAGGUUCAUAAAUAAAAGAAUAAAUACUUAAACGUGAAAGGUGACUAAAUGCGGGGAAGAAAGAUUGCAAAUAAAUACAUGGGCCAAAGAUGUUUGGUUUGCCCAUGGAGUUUUAAUUAAAAAAAUUAAUAAGGAAAACAAAUACCCAAAAUAAGGAAGACUGACAAAUGAGUGAGUGGAUGAGAGAGUGAAUGGUGCUUGACGUAGGAGCAGUAGUGCUUUAGGGACCAGCAUGAAGGUGGUGACCGGGAGCCCUGAUUCAUGGGAUUCUGUCCACCUGACUUUAUAAGAACCAAGAAUGGCUGGGAAUGGUGGCUCACGCCUGUAAUCCCAGCACUUUGGGAGGCCGAGGUGGGCGGAUCAUGAGGUCAGGAGUUUGAGACCAGCCAGUUUGAGAUCAGCCUGGCCAACAUGGUGAAAUUCCAUCUCUACUAAAAAAAUACAAAAAUUAUGGGCGUGGUGGCACCUGUCUGUAAUCCUAGCUACUCGGGAGGCUGAGAGAGGAGAAUUGCUUGAACCCGGGAGGUGGAGGUUGUAGUGAGCCAAGAUUGCACCACUGCACUCCAGCCUGGGCUACAGAGCAAGACACUAUCUUAGAUCAAAAAAGAAAAAAAAAAAAAGAAGGAGAAAGAACCAGAGAAACAUAAGGAAGAGUGAGAGGAAGAAAGAAAGAUGCAAUUUGGGAAGAAAUGAAAAAGAAAUGAAUAAAGAAUAAAAUAAUGUAACGGUCAAUAAAUAGGACUUGUGAAUGGAGGCCUUUAGGCCAAAGGCUAUGAUUAAUUUCAAGCUAUGUUACUGAAGUCCAUAAACAAAGGACUCAGAUCUAAAUGGAUGAACGAAUGACUGGAAGAAAGGGUGGUAGGAAGGUAGGAAGAAAGGAAGGAGGGAAAAAGGGAAGAGAGGAAGGAACCUUCUUUCCAGUCCUGUGUUCUAGACAGUGGAAUGAAGUGGUCCCCAGGGAGGGUGGCUGUAGGCAUGUCAUGUGCUUGUCACAUGCACUUGCCCUGGCAGGGAGGAGCUGGCUCAGGAAGACCCUGGUCUUGGGGUGCUGUUGCCCUAUCUUGGCUGUGUGGGCCAUUUCACUGCAUCUGUCUCUUCCUCAGUUUCCCCAUCUGUAAACCUGGAGUGGCACCAGCUGCCUACUAGAGUUGAUCUUAUGUGUCUCUGUUGAUGGUACCCCAUCUAUGGCCUGGAUAGGCAGGAAGGGCUUGGACCCUGAGCCCCGCAGAAGGUUGCAUGAACGAGUGGUGUGAAGCCUGUUGGGUAGCUUGGCCACUCCCGCGGCAUGGGUCACCUGCACAGGAGGUUUUGCCCACCAGGGGGCAGCAGAGGGUCAGGGAGCAAUAGGCCCUGGGUGGAGCAUGGGCCCCGCCUGCUGUGUGCCACCCUGGGUGUGGCACCUACUCACAUCCAGGGGUUGGUGCAGGGAAAGGCCAGAAGGUGGCCAGGCGCACCUGAGAAGGGGGACCCAGAAGCCCCGGGACCCAGGAGCCCUGGGCAAGCCACCAGAAACCUUGUUCUUGCAACUCUCUGCAGUGUGCCCAGGCCACCCUCUGGCCUGGUCUUCCAUGGGGCAGGGCGCCCACCCUUCUCAACUCAGGUUUCCCUGGGCAGCAGGUGCACCUCAGCACCCCUGGGGUUGCAGAAGUGGUCCGGGGACCCUGGCUUCCUUGACAUGCCAUCCCCAGAGCCUGGUUCAAGGCCUCUCUGUCUUCUCGGCUGUUUCACGACGUGUUUUGUAACUUGGCGGGAUUGCGUUUCGCUGUGUCGAGGUUGUCUCUUCUCUGACUCGCCCUCCGGGGGACUGCCGGGGUAAAUCUGGAGAGUUGCUCGUGCUGACAGUCCUCCCCCAGGGCCUCCCCGGUUCUGUUGAGUCUCCUUUCUCUGUAGUGGAGGAAAUGUGUGUAGUUUUGUGUUGUGUGCCUGUGUUUGUCUGUAAAAGCAAGGACCAAAGUCUCCCUUGUUGACCUCUCAAUUCCUAUUUGGGACAUAUAAAAACACUGGAUUCUUAACAAGCGCCCGGAGCAGUAGGAGCACAGCUUGGAUGGACUCAGGACUUGUGGCAGGGAGCACGUGGGAGGCAGGGGAGUGGGGUGGGGCCAGGCCAUCUGGAGUGGGAGGCGUCAUGCUCAGAGUGACUCUGUAGACGCUGGGUGGGAUGGGGAGUGCGGGCGCAGGCAUGGAUGGGGCUGUUAGCUAGUGUGAUGCUUGAGGUCUGAGCUGAUGGCAGCAAAGUGGGGUGCUCAGGAAUCAAAGCUAUGGGGUUAUAGACAGGAUAUGAAGGAGGGAGGGAGGCAAGAAGAAGGGGGUGGUUCCCACGCUUCUAGCUCCGGCCGAGUGGAUGGCAACAGCAUUUGGAAGGCGGAGGACAUGGAAUUCAUGUGUCAGGAGCCACCUUCCGAGCCUCCAGUACCACGUGUCAGGGCCACAUGAGCUGGGCCUCGUGGGCCUGAUGUGGUGCUGGGGCCUCAGGGGUCUGCUCUUCUUCUCUUUCAGAAUCUGGGGCUCCAGGCUAUGCCUUGGCUGGACUGAGGUCUGGGGGUGCACUUAUUAUCCCUGGGGACACCUGCUGAAGCUUCUCCCUGACAAGCUGUGUCACUGUUGGAUGAGGAUGGGGCGGGAGGGGUUCAGGGCAGAAGAAGACCGGGAGGGUCUUUCAAAAGAACUCAUGUACGGCUGUUAAAAAAAGUCAGCAGAGGCUCAGGAAGACUUAAAGUGUGCAGAAGGCGGGGAAGGGAGGGCCCAUUGCAUGCACCAAGAGGAAAUUGGAAGGAACAAGCGACGUUGGCUGCUAGGAGAGCCUGCUCCCAACAUCUAGGGGCUGUCCUGACGGGUCACAGUGGGUCGAACUGAGCCAAUGAGAGCAGCUCUGGGGAGACCCACUGGUGCCCUGGAGGCUGGGUGGGUUUGGGUUGGAUGAAUUCUGUGUGUCCUUUUGGAAAUGUGGAGGCCAUGAGGGGGGAUCAGGGCUCUUAGGGUUUUGACCCUUAAGAGUUUUGUAUCUGUAAUUCAAAGGUUCUUUAGUUCUGGGAUGCUGAGAUUCGGGAUAGGGUUCCUAAUGGCACAAAAGCCAGAGAUAAAACAUCCUUCACGUGCUCCCUACCCGGUUCUUUCUGUACCAGACCCACAAGGUCCGAGUUGGGAUCCUAGUGCUCCUGUCUGGUCAGGGCCUAUCUUUAUGUGUUCGUUAAACUUUUAACAAUGAGAAUUAAUUCUGUCUCUUGACAUUGUCAUUUGCAUGCUCCCCACACACAAAUCCUUUCCUGGUGACACCAGGAGCUACAACUCUCCUUGGCCUCCUCUUGUGACUCCCAACUCCCUCCUUGGGAAGCUUGGCCUCAGGACCUCUGGGAUAGACAGGCCACGAAUCCUGCUGUGUCCCGUUGUGUUCCUAAUAUAAAUGGUGUGGAUGGCACUUGACCUAGAGCAGUGGGAAAUGCAUGCACCACUCAACAUUCUGACAUGUCACCCAUUUUACAUUCUUACAGGCAUACUUUUUUUAAAAAAAGAGUGUCUAUUCUUUAAUGAGCAUCCCUUCUUUAAAAAAACCUAAUUGCCAUUAUUCACCACAUACACUUUUUUUUUUUUGUAUCCUGCCUCUUCUAUUUAAUUUUCUGUCAUCAACAUUUUCCCUUGUUCCAUGAAUCUUCAUAACCUCACUUGCUGCGUUGUGCCUUGUUGAGUGGCUAUGGCAUCAUUCACAGAACCAUUCUGUUAUUCUUAUGUAUAACCACCUUUUAAAAAUAUUAUGAAUAAUGCCACAACUAACUGCUUAAAACACCCUUUUUUUCAUUCUUAAGAAUUAUGUUCUUCCACCCAGAAAUUAUCAUUGCUUCACUACAGAUCAGUUUCCCCUGCUAGACUGUGAGCCCCAUAAGGGCAAGGAGCUUAUUGAAUUGGCCUUUGUAUCUCUGAUGCCCAACAUGUUGUAGACUAUAAAUAAAUGAUGAAUGAGUGGAUGGAAGAAUGGAGGAAGGAGCGAGUGAGUGAGUGUUUGGCUGAUGGAUAAGAGGGUGGAAGGAUAGGCGGAAGGAUGGAUUGGUGAAUGAAUGAAUGAAUUUCCUUUGGUUAAGUCUCUUGAAAGAAAGGCUAUGGAUCUUUGUAUGGAUGUUGAAUAAUUUCAGUAAGCUUACAGCAUUUUACAAUGUUCAGCAAUGUAUGACCACUUAAUUAAGAUAUGGCUAGUUUGUCUCUGUUAUAAAGUACUUUUGCAUUACUUUAACUUGCAUUGCUUUAAUUACUAAUGAUGGGUGAACACUUUGACCUAUGUUUGUUAACAAAUUGUAUUUUAUCUUCUGUGAACUGUUUGUCCAAGUCCUUUGGGUCAUGGCUUUCUGAAGAGACUGGUCCCAGAUGUCCUUGGGAUGUAGGGAGCCCAUAGCUCACUGGAGGCAUUCAAGGAACCAGCCAGGCAGCCCUCAGAGAAAGUAGUGUUUAGGAGAUUCUCAUGGUGUGGGGUUGGCCUAGGUGGCCUUUCAGGUCUGUUUGAUGUUAGGAUUUGCUUCUCCCUGGGAAGUGGGUGAUGGGGAAAAAGACACCUUCCAUUGGCAGGUGUAGACACUGCAGGCUGGACCUCCUGGGUGUGCUUGUGGACUCCGAUCUUGCCCUUGAUAAAACCCCUGUGGGACAGGAAUAGCUCUUUGAACCUCCAAGGUCCAGACAGCCACAUCCUAGCACCCUGUACAAUCAGUUAGUGGCCUUCCCACCAGCGCAGUCACUCAUUCCUAUUAGAUCCCGAUGAAGCCAGGCCCUGGGGUUUCCAUUUUCCCACCUCUUAGGGGAAUUGGGUUCCCCGCGUCCUGUGAUAUGUCAGCAAAUGUCCUCAGCCCUGGCCUGCACAUGUGGCCUCAGUGGUGGUCUUUGGGGUUUAACUGACGAAUGGAACAUUUUGGAUCAGGACUGAUGGGAGAAUCUCCUUUCAUUUUUCUUCACCUGGGGCAAUUACAUUCUAAGGAGCGGAAUAAAGGGCAUGUUCUGCCCAAAGCAUCAGGGCUCACAGGUCAGUCACAGCCAUUUAGGGAGGGCAUGUCACCCAAGGAGGGCUCGCCCUUCUUUCCAGAGCAUCCUCCGCUCUCAGCAGAGCUGCUUCUGCCCACCCAUCCCUCUACUAUAGCACUGAGCACUGUUUGCCCGUGUCAGAAUCCCUCACCCACAUGUUUAGCUUGGUAUCCGAGUUUGGGAGGCCGGCAAUGACUUUCAACAUGAAUUGCUCCAUCUACCCAUCCAUGCAUUUGGCCUACUUAUCUUGACCCCGUGCUUUUGGCCUUUUCUUCUCCUGAAAGCAAACCCUUUCAUUUUGGGUGGGCUGUGUAGCGCCAUGGGCUGUGGUUAUGAAGCAAACACCCUUUCUUGUAGCUGCCUCCUCCGGGGUUACUGCCCUGAGCACGUCCCAGCUGGAUCUCGUCUGCCACUGUCACCCAUAGCUUCUUCCCCAUGGUGCUUUCCAUGUGUCACACACCACGACUGUGACCCAGGGUCGGGGUCAAGAGUAGCCUGGGGCCAAGCCCUCCCACCCAUGAGCGGAGAAGUCCUCCCCAGGCCUCACCUUGCCUGGCGCAUGGUCCCUCCCAUGAGCUUUGCUUUCAGCCUUUCAGCUUCCUCCACAGGGUGGCAGUGGUUGUAACUCAUCCAUUCAUCCCUUCAUCCCUUCAUUCAUUCACUCACAGCCAACAGACGUUUUUAAAAAAUUAGCCAGUGCUAUACUAGAGCUGGCUCCCAAGGACCCGCUGCCGCAUUGCCUUUUGAAACAAAACAAUGAACACGUUGGUAAAGGGGCCGUGCUUGUGUGUCGGUGACAAGGCGAGAUCCCUGAGUCAGGUCAGGCUUGUAGAUUCGAGUUCUGUUGCGAGUUUGAUUGCCCCUCUGACUUUGUCCCCUGUACAACUAGGUUGAUUAGGAAUCAGCCAACUGUGUUCCCUGGGUGCUCAGAAAUCACAGCCCAUAUCCUCGAGAGGCCAAAAUGAGAGCCAGGGGGUUCCAAGAUGAGUGGCUGCUUCUGGCCGGGAGCAGGUUUUCAAGUCAUUAGAACACUCUGGCCUUUCCUGGAGGUGAUCUUGGAGCCAUUCCUGCCCCUUUCAAGAGGAGUUAAUGCCCAGCUCUGUUUAGAGAAAAUUGGGGGAGAUGAUUGCUCAUGUGGGUGAUAAGAAUCACCUCCCGUGCAGGGGUCUGCAUAGAACACUCCAUAGGCAAACCUGGGUGUCCAAGGCACGUGGCAUUUUGCAAACUCUGGGUGCAGCUCCGAGCUGUCCUGCAGGUCCCAGACCAGGUGAGAACUCCCUGAGUUCCUGCUGCCUGGGUCGGGGGUGAGGCAUAGGUCUUGGGGGUUCAACCUGGAAUUCUGAAUGUCAUUCAUUGCAUUGGAGAGGAAGGAGAGUAGGCAAAGCCAAGACCCUGGAACUGGACAAACUCGUGUGGUUUAAAGUCACUGUGAGAGCUGGAGUUGAGUCUGCCUACGGGGGAGGACUGCGGCACCUACCUCGCAGGGCUGUUGUGAGGAGCAAUGUAACCGUGAUUUUGAACUGUGAUUCUGGAAGGGCGGUGUGCGUGUCCCCGGGGGUGUGCCAGGGGAGUGAGGAGAAAAGGCCAGGGAGACAGCCUCACUCAGGCAGCUGAGUGGGAGAGCAUUUAUCUCUAAACCUGGAGGGGUAUAUGGUGGGACAGGAGGAAUUUGGGCAGGAACUUUCAUGCUAGGGGUUUGGGGGACUCGCUGGACAAUGCCCCUGGACCCCCCGGGGGUACGCGUUCACGCUCACCUCUGAGAGGCUGGAAACGCCUGGCUGUGCUUUCUGAAUGCUGUGUGCUUCCUGCCUCUGUGCCUGGCCUGUGUGCAGCACCUACUUGUGUCCGCCUUCAAAAGGCCCUUCUGGGUGGCGUCCUUUUCCCCAAAAUAUUAGGCACCAGCCAUCAAAGAUACUGCAUUGUUGCCUCCCCCACCCCUCCCCCCAACUGACAACAUUUGGGCUCAAAUGCAGCAGGCUGGGUGCCCAACACAGUGCCUGGCGAGUGGUAGCGCUUACGUUUCUUUUCUGUUGAAUGGAUGGAUAGCUAAUGAAAUUGUAACCAAUGACAAGCCUUGAUGUUUAUAACCUUUACUAAGAGAUUAUUAUUUUGCUCUUCAUGGACCUGUUAACAACCACCAUAUUGUAUCUUACGGACGUUUGUAUGCCACGUUUGAAGAGCAGGAGCCUUGUUUCGGCGUCAUGUUGAUGGAACUUGAGCUGUCUGAUGCGAAUCUGUGUUUUAUGUUAGAAAGCGCGUAGCCUUAGGAUCUGGCAGACCCAGGGGCCACUUAAUUAACCCUUUGCCUCUUUGACCCUCAAUCUCCUUUUCUCUAAGCCAUAGGUCACCUGAAAGCCUACCUCACAGGGCUGUUGUGAGGGCCGAGGGUGGGUGUGUUUCAACAGUGUGCAGAUGCUGGCUUUCCCUGGGAAUGGGCAUAUGUUGGGAUUUGUCUUGAAAGCAUGAGUGAUGGCUUUACUAGUCCUAAGUGAAUAAAAAGUCAGCCCUGACCUUACGCUGGGAUUGCAUUUCCCACAGUCAGUGGCAUGUGCAGACCACUGGCAGAGCAGCCUGCAGGUGCUUAGCGAUGUGGGCCCAGAGUAAAUAUUUGUUUGAUUGAUGAGUGAUGGCUUUUUCCUUCCUCAGAGUUUGCCCUGCCCCCCAUUCCAACGUGGGCUGCUGCUUCUCCCCAGCGGGUUGUAGCUGGCAGGGCCGUUGUGCUUUGGGGUUUGCUGUACCUGUCGCUGCCGUGAGGGGACGAUCUGUCUGCCCGGAGGGGUUUCUGCAAACAUUCAUGUAUGCCCCUGCUUUCGUUUGUUAGGGAGAAGGAGUGGGGUGACCUAGAGAGAGGAUGAGGAAGGGGUUCUGGGUGGCAUCCUUGGGGUACCAACCCUGCUUCCAUCCUGCGCUCUGAAUUUCCUCACAGCCCUUUUCUGUCUCUGGUAGAAGGUGCAGAAGGUAGGCUUUGCCACCUUCCCUGGGCCUGGCACCAAGCUCGGGGGUCUUGUACACACUUUCCCUUCUCUAACUGGGGUGUGGGCCCAUUUCCUAGAUGAGCUUGCUGAGAAUCAGGACAGCUGGUAUCAGAGCCAGGACUUCCCAGUCUUGCACAAACAACCUGUGCAUUUUUGAGUCCACCAAAUAAGGCCUCCUGCCUGGUCCGGCUCACCCCUGCCAGCCCCCAGCAAAUGCAGCCUGGUGCGUCCCCACCCCUGCCAAGAGCCCAGGAGUGCUCUGGCAGAGAAGUGCAGGGAUGAGGAAGGAGGCUGUGCCCUCCAGGGGACUCAGCUGCGUUAGAGGAGGUGCUGCUGCAGUGGCAGGGGUCUCCAGACAUCCCACGCAGGGGUCCUUUCAGAUCAGGCAUCUCUUCACCAGACCACCGUAUUCCUUUUUCAGCCCUCGUCUCUUGCACGUGGGGGUGCAGUGUUUGGCUCUCACAUCCCCACAUUCCAGCUGGUGGGGGUUUGAGCUGGGUGUUCCUUCUGCUCCCCACUCCCCACUCACGGCCCCCACCCCACGCAAGCCUCCCUUGCCCCCACUCUUUGUCUCCAGCUUUCACAGCCUUGGCGGGCAGGCUGCUGCGCCUGUUGCUGCCCCGGCUCUCUUCCACCCGCCUCUUCUUUCUCAGCCUGAGCUUUACCGUGAGGUCUGGGCGCCACACCUUGGCCCCUGCCAUGCCUGCUCCCAGAAGCACCCACGUGGGUCCCCUGAUUCUCUCCUCCCCUGGGCUUUGCUAAGGAGCCCUUUCAUUGUGGCCUUUGGUGUCUGCCUCAUGCCCAUCCCCUGUUCUUGAGAACUUGGAAGCAGAGGGGGCCCCUCCUAUUGCUCCCAAGAGGCUCCACAGUAGGGAGCCCCUCCCAGGAGAUUCUGAGUCUGUGUUUAGGUGUCGAUUCCUGGGUGGGCCUUGGGGUCCCCUCAGGCCAGGCCUGUGUGUGACCUAAGGCUGGGGGGCUCUGUCAGGCACCUAGUGUCCCUUGGAGGUGGGCGGGGCUGGGUCCUGGUCUCCUGAGGACGGGUGGGGAGACAGGCUCAGGGAGAUUUCCACGAAGCUGCCCUUGAACCCCUCCUCUGAGGCCCACACUGCCCUGGCCCUUUACACCCUGCCUCCUGCACUAGUAGGCACAUAAUAGAUGCUCGCCACCUGUGGAGGGCAGGGUUUAAAUGGCUGGAAAGAGCUGAGUGGGCUGUUUGGCUAGCGUACGCGCAUUUGUUUAAAAGGAAAGGGUGUGUUUCUUGGCAAAGACUCUUCGGAGGAAACGCUGAACUGGGGAUGGGUCUCUACCUGUUCUGGGGCCUCACUGCCCUUCCUGCCGGGGACAGGCAGUCACUGGUGGGUUUCCCCCCAGUGGAAACACAAUAUUUUGGAAAUAUUUGUAUCUAGGAUAAAACUUCAUCUGGACCAACAUGUCUUUGUUGGUGUUGUGGCCCAGGUGAUUUUGAGAAUGUAGAAUACAUUUGGCAAUUUCCAAACGGAGUGAUGACCUGCUCCUCCGCCCCCCAUGCCCUCCCUGAGGCUGGAGGCUUCAGAAGCCCCUGCCUUGGGAGGAGGCUGUUCUACCUGAGAAGUCUUUGUCCCCACCGUUGGUGACAAUCAGCAUUGACCUGUGAGGCACCUGCCAGGUUCGGGACGCAGCUUUAGACAUCCAGAAAACCGGGGGUGGAGGGGUGGGGUGGGGGCUUAAGACCCCAGAGCUUGAUUCCUUUUAACUGUCUCAUCCCCAAAGAAUGGUACAUGGGUACCAGGUAGGUUACUUGAAUCACCCUGAGCCUCGAUUUUCCCACCCGUUAGAAACAGGGUAAUUCAUGACAGUGUCCGCUUGGGAGACGGCUGUGACCCCUGAGAAUUCUCGCUGCAUGCCGUGGGCUGGCUCGUGAGACUCAAGGUCUGGGUUCGAGGCCCCCGCAACCCCUUCUGACUGUGUGGCCUGGGCGAGUUUGUUGUUUGUAACCUGGAAAGCGUCACACCUGCCUGGCACGGUUAUUGUGGGCUUCAAUGAGAUUGUUUGUGUGAAAUAAACGCUUUGUGACUGGC
rnacentral:lncRNA from 1 species